rnacentral:rRNA from 1 species
ACGGAAGGCAGCAGUGAGGAAUAUUGGUCAAUGGGCGGAAGCCUGAACCAGCCAUGCCGCGUGCAGGAAUGAGGCCCUAUGGGUCGUAAACUGCUUUUGUGGCGGAGCAAUAAGGCGCACGUGUGCGCUGAUGAGAGUACGUCACGAAUAAGCAUCGGCUAACUCCGUGCCAGCAGCCGCGGUAAUACGGAGGAUGCAAGCGUUAUCCGGAUUUAUUGGGUUUAAAGGGUGCGUAGGCUGUCGUUCAAGUCAGAGGUGGAAUGCCGCGGCUCAACCGUGGAACUGCCUUUGAUACUGGGCGGCUGGAAUACUGUUGCCGUGGGAGGAAUGAGUAGUGUAGCGGUGAAAUGCAUAGAUAUUACUCAGAACACCGAUUGCGAAGGCAUCUCACGAAGCAGUCAUUGACGCUGAGGCACGAAAGCGUGGGGAUCAAACAGGAUUAGAUACCCUGGUA